rnacentral:rRNA from 1 species
GACGAACGCUGGCGGCGUGCUUAACACAUGCAAGUCGAACGGAAAGGCCCUGCUUUUGUGGGGUGCUCGAGUGGCGAACGGGUGAGUAACACGUGAGUAACCUGCCCUUGACUUUGGGAUAACUUCAGGAAACUGGGGCUAAUACCGGAUAGGAGCUCCUGCUGCAUGGUGGGGUUUGGAAAGUUUCGGCGGUUGGGGAUGGACUCGCGGCUUAUCAGCUUGUUGGUGGGGUAGUGGCUUACCAAGGCUUUGACGGGUAGCCGGCCUGAGAGGGUGACCGGCCACAUUGGGACUGAGAGACGGCCCAGACUCCUACGGGAGGCAGCAGUGGGGAAUAUUGCACAAUGGGCGGAAGCCUGAUGCAGCAACGCCGCGUGCGGGAUGACGGCCUUCGGGUUGUAAACCGCUUUCGCCUGUGACGAAGCGUGAGUGACGGUAAUGGGUAAAGAAGCACCGGCUAACUACGUG